CAAUCGGCCCUUUUCAGGGCCACCAUAUAAAUUGUAUACGUGGAAC
rfam:Trichomalopsis sarcophagae strain Alberta scaffold6098, whole genome shotgun sequence.